GUGGCGCAUGGCCUGCUAGGGAGCAUGGAGGGGUUUUCCCAUGCGAGGGAUUUCCCCUUUGUAUCUACAAGACCAACUACAAGACAUUUACAAGCAAAGUGUUGACGAAAUACCUCGAUCCUUCUUUCUUCCUGACAACGCCACAAACUGAAAGUAACCGUCUCUCACCGAACACACUUUUUUAAGGUUUAUUUAAGUGUUGGUAUGCUAGCAUUGCUUUGCUUGCAUACCGCUAUAAUAAUAAUAAUAUAACGCUGUAUACAAUAGGAAAAACAAUAAAUUAUGUGUUGCAGUGCUUUG